rnacentral:rRNA from 1 species
UACAGAGGGUGCAAGCGUUAAUCGGAAUUACUGGGCGUAAAGCGUGCGUAGACGGUUACAUAAGUCGGGUGUGAAAGCCCCGGGCUCAACCUGGAAUUGCAUUCGAGACUGCGUAGCUAGGGUGCGGAAGAGGGAAGCGGAAUUUCCGGUGUAGCGGUGAAAUGCGUAGAUAUCGGAAGGAACACCAGUGGCGAAGGCGGCUCACUGGCCCGAUACUGACGCUGAGGCACGAAAGCGAUGGGGAGCAAACAGGGAU